rnacentral:ribozyme from 1 species
CUCAAUUCACUCUCGAUUCAUGGCAUAUGGACUUGACGAAGGAUUCAUCACAUCUUCGACUCUCCGCUCCGAAAUCUACGAUCUUGAAUAUUAUUCUCCCAUGCAUGAGUACUGCAAUGAAAUGGUCAGCAUUCAGAGCCGCCAUAAUGCAGUUUGCGUCAGAGGGAAAACACUGACCAGGAAGUCAUUGCCAGAAU